GUGGGCAAGGACAGUCAGGGAAGGCUUCCUGAAGGAGGCGGCAUGCAUCUCCACGUAUUGCCCUCGCCUGACCACCUUGCCUUCUCUUGGCUGUGGCUGUUUCUCUGACCACCCCCCCCACCCCCCUUCUGUGUUCCUCAUCCCGUUUGCCUCCCAAAGACUGACAGCUGCAGUACAGGGGCAGGCUCAAUGGAGAGCAAGGCCCCCGAAGGGCCGACCAUUAUUAUUAACAUUGCCCACCUGCCCCGCGUGGGUUCCGUUCCCAUCCGGCCUCCCAGCUAGAAACCACAGCCAACGGUGAGAUGUUGAGCGGCCCUGUCUGGAGAUCUCGCACGGAGGCGAGGGCUGGGGCAAGAGGUCCUAGCCGGCGACCCCACAAGUGGACGGAAUCUAGGGAAACGGUGGGGCUGCUGGGCAGAUACAUCACGGAUUGCCGUUUUCACUGUUGCUGGGAAAAAUCUGAGACUCAGGGAAACCAGUGGAAUGUUUUACCCGGCGGAGUAUUAGAUGGCAGGGGGAAAGACGCGGACGCACGUGACGGUGUGAACCUCGAAAACGUUCGCGGAGUGGGAGGAGCCAGACGCAAAGGACCCCCAAGUGGGGCUCAGCGAACACGAGACACCCACAACAGGCGGAGGCCCAGACGCGGGAAGCAGACGUGUGCCUGCCCAGGUGCAGACUUCUUCUGUGAGCUUCCUCUUGUCUGACUGGACACGGCAGAGGCUUGGCUGUCCGUAACUCGAGCACUGGAGACGCUGUGUGGGUGGUGGGCCAGCCCUGGUCCGGGGAUGCAGCAUCGGUAAGGAUGCCCGCGGCGUGCACACCGGGCUGGGCAUCUGGGCGACCGAGGGGCCCCUCGUUAACUUGCACACCCCACUCCUGGCCCAGGGCCUAGCGUCCAAACUGAAAGCACAGGCAGGUUCUGAGCCCAGAGUGGGACUUCCACAAAGCUCUCUCGAAUCUUUGCGUGGCUCCCUCUUCCUUGGUAAAGGUAGCAGGACAAAAUAAAAACAAAAUUUUAAAUUUUUCUGGAAAGAAAAAAAAGCAAAUCUUGAUGAACUGGAAUACAGCCCAGUUACCUGUUCUAAGUAACCCUGAUGUUCCGUUGGCCCCUUGUAAAUCGCAAGGGAUUUCUUCAUGAGACUUCGCGUAGAGUAUCGAGAAGUCCAGACACCGUCGGGGAGCCUCACGCGGCCUCAUUCAUGGCAACGCCCUAUGGGGCGCGUGUUACUUUGUGCCCAUUUCGCAGAUGGGGUAAGUGGAGGUGACUUCCCUGAAGCACACAGGUAGUUUGUGCCAGAGCUGGGGUGGGAACCCCGUCGGCAGUGCGGGGAAGAGAGGCGGGCGCCGCAGCCGGAAGAUGGAAUGUUAUGUCGGAGAACCCCUCGGACGGUGUCAAAGCAGCAGGCCGGCCCCACCAGCUCUGCUCCUCUCCGUGGGGCGCUCUUGCCUCUGAGGGCCUCCGUUCGCUGCCCCACAAGGUGGGGCUCAGCUGGGGUGGCCCCGCACACGCGCAGCCUGCCCUCCACAGGCAGGAACGCGCGGCCACCUUCCUCCUCCGUCGGGCCUCCCGUGGGGCUGGUGACGGGCUGGGGUCUGUUUGUUCUCAGGGAAGGAAGAACCCUUUCUGGAAAUGCCAAGCCUCUCUUUGCCGAGACAAACCUCGGGGCUUGACACAGAAAGAGAGUGAGGCAGGCUCGGGAAGGAGGCAGGAGCUCUGGCUGGCCCAGCGGACCCCCGCCCCUCUGACACGGCUCCGGCCUCCGUGCGAGUGGUGGGAGGGCACGCGGCCCCUCCCCACGAGGAGAUGGGAGCCAGCCCUGUCCCUGCUUCUCCAUGGGGCUGUGGCUUCUGCAAAGCCAGGGCCCGGCCAAACUGCCUCCCGCAGCCUCUGACCCCAGAGGCCAGGCCCCCCUCUACUCGCUGGGCCCAGGAGCCUCCCCUAUGCCCUCUAAGCCCUGCCCACCUGACCUCAGCUCUGGGACCCCCCCCUCCCAUCUCCAGGCUGUAAAAGGGGGCUCCUCCUGCCUCUGAAGUGUGGCUGUGAGAAUUACGUGAGGCAAUGAUCCAUGCUCGUAAAGGGCCAGCCCAGAGCCUUCCAGAACCUUCCGCAGAGUCACAACAAUAAGAAACAAACAGCCCAAAUGGGGCACUGGCCCAGAAAUAGCUCAUCCUGGCACCAACCAGAGGAGGUAGGGACCACCUAGGACGCAUUUUUCAGAUGCAAAUACUGAGGCACGGAGCAGUUAGGAGUUCACCCACACGUGGAACAGACAUGGGAACCCAGGCGGUCUGGCUGAGGGCCGUCAGCCUCUAUAGUCUCUCCAUACACUUGACAGAUGGGAGCUAAGAUUAUUGCUGGGGGGGGGGGGAGGUUGAUCAUUAUUUGGUUUUUAAAACACUUUUAAUCUGGGGAUCAUUACAGACGCACACACAGUUGUAAGGAAUAAUUUGGGAAGAUCCCUGUAUACCUUCCGGCCAGUUUCCCUCAGUGGUGACGCCCUGCAUAGCUUCGGCAUGAGGUCACAACCGGGAUGUGACGUCAGCACAGCCGACCGUGUGAUUCAGGCCAAAGGGGAGCAGGGCUCCCAGGAAAGUGAGGUGUCUGCUCAGACCCCAUGGCCUUCCACUCGGUGCCCCUUGCCCUGCCCUCCUUUUCCUUAACAUGACCUGACGUUUGCGGGUCUGUUUACGCUCCCCUAGAGACGCAAGUUGCGGGAGGUCAGAGAUUUGCCCGCGGCGUUCGCUGCUGUAUCCCCUGCGUGGAGAACAGGGCCUGUCACGUCCGGCCUUAGUACAUAGUUUUGAACGGAUGGGGUCGCUGUGCAAUCUGCCAAGUGGCCGCAGAAAUCGUCACCUCGAGUAAGAAAACCUGGAUGGACAUCGACCAAAAUGUUCACUGUCAUCUCCGGCUGGUGGAACACGGUGGGUUUUUGGCCUCCUUUUUUUUUUUUUUUUAUCUGUAUGUUCCAAUUUUCCUGUAACAAACGGCGUUAGUUGAGGAAUAUGUAAAUUUUCAAAAAUAAACGCGAUAUAUUGGAAUUGUAAUCUAAUUCCGCUUUCAGGGUGGUAAAGGGAAAAGGAAUCACUGACCACAGUUGGGGUGAGAAGGGGGGCUCUGGUUUCUCUGAGGUUCCAUGACGCCGAGUGUCUGAAAUCCCCACCCGACCCUUCCCCUAGAUUCACCCCAACUUACUCGGUCCUCCGUGGGCAUCCUGUUCCUAUUAGACCGUAAGCAACUUCAGGGGCCCGGAAAAGCUUUGCUGAACAUCUACUAAAUUCCUGGACCUGUGCAUCUUUAUUAUUUUUUAAUUUUUAUUAAAAAUUUUUUUAUGACAUUUAUUUAUUUUUGAGACACAGAGUAAGG